rnacentral:rRNA from 1 species
CCCUACGGGAGGCAGCAGUGAGGAAUAUUGCACAAUGGGCGAAAGCCUGAUGCAGCAACGCCGCGUGAGGGACGAAGGCCUUCGGGUCGUAAACCUCUUUUCUGAGGGAAGAGACAAGGACGGUACCUCAGGAAUAAGUCUCGGCUAACUACGUGCCAGCAGCCGCGGUAAAACGUAGGAGGCGAGCGUUAUCCGGAAUUACUGGGCGUAAAGCGCACGCAGGCGGCUUGGUAAGUUGGACGUGAAAGCUGCUGGCUUAACUGGGAGAGGUCGUUCGAAACUGCUGAGCUUGAGGCUGGAAGAGGGGUGUGGAAUUCCCGGUGUAGUGGUGGAAUGCGUAGAUAUCGGGAGGAACACCAGUGGCGGAAGCGGCACCCUGGUCCAGGCCUGACGCUGAUGUGCGAAAGCGUGGGGAGCAAACAGGAUUAGAUACCCUGGUAGUCCAC